UACGUAGGGGGCAAGCGUUGUCCGGAUUUAUUGGGCGUAAAGAGCGUGUAGGCGGUUAGGUAGGUCCGUUGUGAAAACUCGGGGCUCAACCUCGAGACGCCGAUGGAAACCAUCUGACUAGAGUCCGGAAGAGGAGAGUGGAAUUCCUGGUGUAGCGGUGAAAUGCGCAGAUAUCAGGAAGAACACCCGUGGCUAAGGCGGCUCUCUAGUACGUGACUGACGCUGAGACGCGAAAGCGUGGGGAGCGAACAGG
rnacentral:rRNA from 1 species